GCUUAACACAUGCAAGUCGAACGAUGAAGCCCAGCUUGCUGGGUGGAUUAGUGGCGAACGGGUGAGUAACACGUGAGUAACCUGCCCUUAACUCUGGGAUAAGCCUGGGAAACUGGGUCUAAUACCGGAUAGGAGCGUCCACCGCAUGGUGGGUGUUGGAAAGAUUUAUCGGUUUUGGAUGGACUCGCGGCCUAUCAGCUUGUUGGUGAGGUAAUGGCUCACCAAGGCGACGACGGGUAGCCGGCCUGAGAGGGUGACCGGCCACACUGGGACUGAGACACGGCCCAGACUCCUACGGGAGGCAGCAGUGGGGAAUAUUGCACAAUGGGCGCAAGCCUGAUGCAGCGACGCCGCGUGAGGGAUGACGGCCUUCGGGUUGUAAACCUCUUUCAGUAGGGAAGAAGCGAAAGUGACGGUACCUGCAGAAGAAGCACCGGCUAACUACGUGCCAGCAGCCGCGGUAAUACGUAGGGUGCGAGCGUUAUCCGGAAUUAUUGGGCGUAAAGAGCUCGUAGGCGGUUUGUCGCGUCUGUCGUGAAAGUCCGGGGCUUAACCCCGGAUCUGCGGUGGGUACGGGCAGACUAGAGUGCAGUAGGGGAGACUGGAAUUCCUGGUGUAGCGGUGGAAUGCGCAGAUAUCAGGAGGAACCCGAUGGCGAAGGCAGGUCUCUGGGCUGUAACUGACGCUGAGGAGCGAAAGCAUGGGGAGCGAACAGGAUUAGAUACCCUGGUAGUCCAUGCCGUAAACGUUGGGCACUAGGUGUGGGGACCAUUCCACGGUUUCCGCGCCGCAGCUAACGCAUUAAGUGCCCGCCUGGGGAGUACGGCCGCAAGGCUAAAACUCAAAGGAAUUGACGGGGGCCCGCACAAGCGGCGGAGCAUGCGGAUUAAUUCGAUGCAACGCGAAGAACCUUACCAAGGCUUGACAUGUUCUCGAUCGCCGUAGAGAUACGGUUUCCCCUUUGGGGCGGGUUCACAGGUGGUGCAUGGUUGUCGUCAGCUCGUGUCGUGAGAUGUUGGGUUAAGUCCCGCAACGAGCGCAACCCUCGUUCCAUGUUGCCAGCACGUAGUGGUGGGGACUCAUGGGAGACUGCCGGGGUCAACUCGGAGGAAGGUGAGGACGACGUCAAAUCAUCAUGCCCCUUAUGUCUUGGGCUUCACGCAUGCUACAAUGGCCGGUACAAUGGGUUGCGAUACUGUGAGGUGGAGCUAAUCCCAAAAAGCCGGUCUCAGUUCGGAUUGGGGUCUGCAACUCGACCCCAUGAAGUCGGAGUCGCUAGUAAUCGCAGAUCAGCAACGCUGCGGUGAAUACGUUCCCGGGCCUUGUAC
rnacentral:rRNA from 1 species